AUUGAACGCUGGCGGCAGGCCUAACACAUGCAAGUCGAACGAGUGGCGGACGGGUGAGUAAUGCCUGGGAAUCUGGCUGAUGGAGGGGGAUAACUACGGGAAACGGUAGCUAAUACCGCGUACCAUAGGAUGAGCCCAAGUGGGAUUAGGUAGUGGGUGAGGUAAAGGCUCACCAAGGCGACGAUCCCUAGCUGGUCUGAGAGGAUGACCAGCCACACUGGGACUGAGACACGGCCCAGACUCCUACGGGAGGCAGCAGUGGGGAAUAUUGCACAAUGGGAGCAAGCCUGACGCAGCCAUGCCGCGUGAAUGAAGAAGGCCUUCGGGUUGUAAAGUACUUUCGGUAGCGAGGCGUUAACUACAGAAGAAGCACCGGCUAACUCCGUGCCAGCAGCCGCGGUAAUUC
rnacentral:rRNA from 1 species